CUCCUUGUGCAGUGGCAAUAUCGUAACCAAUGAUGGUCUCCUGAGGUGCGAUUAUUGCUAGUUGAAAACUUUUACCAAAGUCAGAUAGUCUAGUGACAUUACAACUCAGAAUAAAGAGUAAACAAUCUUUAUAUAACCAAUAAAAUGUUGCUAUACUUUUUUUUUGCCUUUUUUUUUGGCA
rnacentral:snRNA from 1 species